AAUAAGCUCCCAUAAUCCCUGUUUAAUAAUCAACCUAAUUUAAUCUUUCAAUUAUUUCACCUUGGCCAAAACUUCUUUCUAACUAUCACCACUUUAGCAAAUUUUUAUAUUAUAUCCAAUUCACAACCCACUCACUUAAAAAUCAUAUUUUCUUAUUACUUAAAUUAAUUAAAUCAACCAAUAAUUCUAAUUACUUUCUAAUAAUUUCUAUCCACCCCAAUAAAUCAAAUAAAAUUAUCCGACCACAUACAUAAUUCAUAAAAGUCAAUAUUAACUAAAGUAAAUUAAAAUUAACGAGAAAUUGGGUGUUACAACUUCCCCACUUAUAAAAUUUUUGACCUAAAAAAUCACAUGAAAAAAUAACUC
rnacentral:lncRNA from 1 species